ACGUAGGUGGCAAGCGUUAUCCGGAAUUAUUGGGCGUAAAGCGCGCGCAGGUGGUUUCUUAAGUCUGAUGUGAAAGCCCACGGCUCAACCGUGGAGGGUCAUUGGAAACUGGGAGACUUGAGUGCAGAAGAGGAAAGUGGAAUUCCAUGUGUAGCGGUGAAAUGCGUAGAGAUCGGGAGGAACAUCCGUGGCGAAGGCGACUACCUGGACCAGCACUGACACUGAGGCACGAAAGCGUGGGGAGCAAACAGGA
rnacentral:rRNA from 1 species